rnacentral:rRNA from 1 species
GAUGAACGCUAGCUACAGGCUUAACACAUGCAAGUCGAGGGGAAACGACAUCGAAAGCUUGCUUUUGAUGGGCGUCGACCGGCGCACGGGUGAGUAACGCGUAUCCAACCUGCCCACCACUUGGGGAUAACCUUGCGAAAGUAAGACUAAUACCCAAUGACGUCUCUAGAAGACAUCUGAAAGGGAUUAAAGAUUUAUCGGUGAUGGAUGGGGAUGCGUCUGAUUAGUUAGUCGGCGGGGUAACGGCCCACCGAGACGACGAUCAGUAGGGGUUCUGAGAGGAAAGUCCCCCACAUUGGAACUGAGACACGGUCCAAACUCCUACGGGAGGCAGCAGUGAGGAAUAUUGGUCAAUGGGCGGAAGCCUGAACCAGCCAAGUAGCGUGCAGGACGACGGCCCUAUGGGUUGUAAACUGCUUUUAUGCGGGGAUAAAGUGGGCCACGCGUGGCCUUUUGCAGGUACCGCAUGAAUAAGGACCGGCUAAUUCCGUG